AUUCCAGCUCCAAUAGCGUAUAUUAAAGUUGUUGCAGUUAAAACGCUCGUAGUCGGAUUUCUGGUUGGACCGCGAUGCAGGACUCGCAAGGGUUCGUGAUUGUUGUGGUUUCCUUCCAUCCUCAGGUUUGCGCGUGCUGGCCUUAACUGGUCGGUGUGUGUGGUCCUGUCGUUUACUGUGAACAAAUUAGAGUGUUCAAAGCAAGGUGUACUUGAAUACAUUAGCAUGGAAUAAUAAGAUAGGACUUUGGUGGUUCUUUUUUGAUAUUUUGUUGGUUUGCACGCCAAAGUAAUGAUUAAUAGGAGCAGUUGGGGGUAUUCGUAUUCAAUUGUCAGAGGUGAAAUUCUUGGAUUUAUAGAAGACGAACUACUGCGAAAGCAUUUACCAAGGAUGUUUUCAUCG
rnacentral:rRNA from 1 species